rnacentral:rRNA from 1 species
AUGAGCUAUGUGUGGCGGAGUAUUCUGCAAGGGGUGGAAGUGGUAAAAGCCGGUAUGAUUUGGCGUGUUGGUUCGGGUAACAACAUUAGAAUAUGGGAGGAUCCCUGGAUCCCAUCUGUUGACACUAGGCGUCCGGGCACACUCCAAGGGAAUCACCUUCUGACCACUGUGAAUGAGCUCAUCGAUCCGGACAGGAAUGAUUGGGAUUCUCAGCUUGUUCAUCAGACCUUUGCUCCAAAUGAUGCAGCUGCAAUCUUGGCUAUCCCAAUCUGUGAGCAUUACGACGACUUUGUGGCGUGGCAUUUUGAUAGCAAAGGUAGGUUCUCAGUCAAGUCGGCAUAUCGGGUGUAUGCGAACAUUCUUACCCGGCAGAAUUACAGGCAGCGGGGAGAGAGCUCGACAAUCCCUUCGGAAGGACAAAAUUUCUGGCAGGAUCUCUGGAAGAUAAAGUGCCCUCCGAGAGUUCAUCAUUUUCUGUGGCCGUUUGCACAUAACAGCCAUCCACUUCUAAGAAAUAUUGAACACAUUGGCGUACAGCUUGACAAUAAGUGUGUAGUCUGCCGUCGACUUCCGGAGGUAAAAAAGCCUGGAGAGUUUGUUCGCUUGAGAAUACUAGACUAA